rnacentral:lncRNA from 1 species
UUUGGUUUUAGAAUUAUUAGAUUCUACUUUGCUUUCCAUUCUUCUGUAGGUAUAGAAUUGAUCGUCUUUCCUGGUUGACAUAGUAGCCACUUUACUGCCAUGGUGUCCACUUGUUCUUUAUCCUUGUCAACGUAAAGACUAGAGAACAUUUGGACCAAAGGGCAGUGGUUUGACAAAAAUUGAUGGACCGGCCCCAACUGUUGAGGAUUAUUGGGUCCAGAUGUCAUUAUGUUAGUUCGGUAUUACACUUUCUAUUAUCUCUGGUGUUGCUCUUUGUUCUUUGUUGGGUUUGUUUCCUAGCUAUCUUCUAGUCUCCCAUAUUCAUAGUGUUCUAUUCUAUGUUUUUUCUGAUUGACGUUGAAAGAAAUGUAUAUCACUUUUAUUACUACGUGUUUGAUAUGCUAAUGUUAAACAUCCAGAAUGCAUGAUACUAAUAGCAGAAUUAUACCAAUAACAAUUUAUUUGAGAAUCCAUAAAAUACAUAACAAGAUAUCAUAGUAUUUGUUGAUGAUCAGGAGGAAUAACAGCAACAAUGACCGCUAACACAGCGUCCUGACGUCGACAAAACGCGCUCAUUGCAAACGGUUAUGCAAUGCGCCACUGAAUCCCAGUUCAUUGGAUCACAUUCAACUUCCGUGCAAUACUUUAUCAUAUCUCCAUUAGUCCCGACAUCUGUCAACAAUACCAACAAAAAUGCGAACGACAUUACAUUUUAAGAAAAUGUAAAAGAAAAAUAAAACCAUAGGAAUACUUGUUCUAAGCUAUUAAUUUUACUAUAUGAAAAUAAAUUAUUUAUGCGUUCAUGCAUGUAUCCUAGCUAGCAGUGACGAAGCACAUAAUAGCCAGCUGAUUGCUCAAAUGUUCCCUUUAACCAAUUAGCGAAAGUUGUUUGAACGCUAAUAUGAAUUGAAGAAAGUACUUACAACUGGCUGCUACCAUAACAGAUGCAAUGGUAGUCGUAAGAAGCACAAAAACCACGAAGAAUUUCAUAAAAUGCAUGAUUUUCUAUUUGAUGCUUUUAUGACAAUUUUGCUUUUCCCUGCAGAU